AUUGAACGCUGGCGGUAUGCCUUACACAUGCAAGUCGAACGGUAACGGGCCUUCAGGUGCCGACGAGUGGCGAACGGGUGAGUAAUACAUCGGAACGUGCCCGAUCGUGGGGGAUAACGAGGCGAAAGCUUUGCUAAUACCGCAUACGAUCUACGGAUGAAAGCAGGGGACCGCAAGGCCUUGCGCGGACGGAGCGGCCGAUGGCAGAUUAGGUAGUUGGUGGGAUAAAAGCUUACCAAGCCGACGAUCUGUAGCUGGUCUGAGAGGAUGAUCAGCCACACUGGGACUGAGACACGGCCCAGACUCCUACGGGAGGCAGCAGUGGGGAAUUUUGGACAAUGGGCGCAAGCCUGAUCCAGCCAUGCCGCGUGCAGGAUGAAGGCCUUCGGGUUGUAAGCUGCUUUUGUACGGAACGAAAAGCCUUCUUUUAAUACAGGAGGGUCAUGACGGUACCGUAAGAAUAAGCACCGGCUAACUACGUG
rnacentral:rRNA from 1 species